AAAGAGGAAAUCUUAGUGUAGAUAAUAUAAUUUGUUUUGAAAUAUACAUUGGCAAUAUUGAAAUAUACUCAGUGCAAUAUCUCUAAUUCUAUUGCUGGAUAUUUAAUGCAAAGGGUUUUACAAAUCCUCUUAAAGAAGAUCCAAGAGUUUUGCUAAUUCAUCUCUCAUGUUUUAAAGUACUAACUACAGCAAGUGGUAGUUUUUAUUCUUACUUAUUAAGGUAACAAAGGACAUUUAUUUGGUUUGGUUUUUACUCUAGAGAAGGAAAAGACAUGGAUUUUAAUCUUUGAUUUCAUAUCUAAUCAAAUUUAACAUUCUUAAUUUUUUUGAAAUGUAUGUGCUUUAGUAAAUUGACAUACUUUAUGAGUAAAAAUUUAUUCAAAGAAUGUAAGAUAUAUUUAGUAUUUAAAGUCACUUAUAUUUUAAUGAGGAAAUUUUCUUUUCUAUAUUUGCCUUUGUUUUCAUAGCACAACCCAAACAUGCCCUUUGCACUUCUAUAUACCCUUCCAAAGGCAGUGGAUUGAACGUAGCAGGAUAAUCAUGAGACUUGAAGGGGAUGGUAUAUGUGAAUGGGUUCUAAAAUAAUCAGCAUAUUUAUGUAUUGAGAUUACUCUCAAAUGCAAUAGUUAUUGGAUAUAGCUGGUAAUUUCUCUGCCAUGCAUACUUACAAUAAUUCUUCUACCUCUCACUUUUAACAUGGGCUAUGAUACUUCAAUAUAAAUAGCAGAAGUAAAUAUUUACAAGAUAUCCCAGGAAGCAUCAUUUUGGGACCUUCAUAACAAUGCACUCCCCACUCCCUGGGAAAUCUCAAAAGCCAACUUCUUGUAGUGUAUUUUAUGGUGUAUGGGUAAGCGUUUGUUUAGCUUCGCUCUCAUUAGCUGCAUAUAUAGGUAACACAUGAAACUUUGGUGAGGACAGGUCUUUCCAUGCCUAGUUAGUGUUUUGCUGUUAUGUAAUUGUAACUUUUAAAAAGUAAUUUGAUGGCAGCAGUUUGCAAUCCAAUUUGAUAUUUCAGUUUAUUUUUAAAGUAUAAGAAUUUCUUCAAAUUCAAUGCUGUAUUUUAAGUACAAGUCAUGUAUAUGAUUUAAUUUCCAGAGAAAUAUUAUCUAUAUAAACAAAAAUUAAGUAUUUUAAAACUGUCUCCUUAUGAACAAAUAACCCCAAUAAUUCAAAAUAUUGCCUCAAAAGCCCACUUUUUCUGCCUAGGCAUGAUAGGAAGUUUUCAAUGAUGUAAUUUAAAUAUGUUAAAAUAAAAUGCCACUUUAUGAGCGUAUUUUCCCUUCAGGAAAAAAAUAGAUUACAUAAAUUUAUUAAAUAUUGAUGGUGAAUCUAUAAAAUACGCUUAAAAUUAAAGUAAGAGUUUAUGUUAUGUGGUUAUGUUAUACAUAUUAUUUGAUUUAGUCUUUAACAUCGUGUCCAUAUAUGUAUAUGUAGUAUUUAUAUAUGGUCAUAUAUAUAUAUAUAUAUUACAUAUAUGAAAUGUGUGAUUAUUUUGGAGAAAAUGGGCCCAAAUGUGAAAAAGAUGUAAAGAAAACAUUAUAACCCCUUGGAAAUAUGAUGUAUAUUUCAAAGAUGUUAAGUUUAAAGAGAAGUGACAAUUGCAGAGGCACAAGAAAAAAUCUACCAGGGCUCAGCACUCAAGCACUUUCCCCACAUCCAGGGUCAAAGCAGUAGCGAUUCCUACACGGACUUUUAAGCGCAGCAUGAAAUGCAGCAUUACACGAACACACAGUACUGUCAAACCUCAAAUGCUUUCUUUCUUUAGAUGCUUUCCCUUGUACAUGAUCCUCGUAGACAUGUUUUUAUAUUCGCUGAUAGUGAAAGUCACGCGCAAUAAAAUGUAACGGUUGGAAGCAGUAGUCACGAAUCGGUUAAAGACAAGUACAAAAUGUUAACAGUUGUUAUCUUUCUCCUCCUCGCUUUUCUCCGUGGUUCCGAUGUGUUGACUGAAUGUCAUAAAUAGAACAAAAAAAAGAAAAAAAAAGCAGAAGCUUUUCAAAGCUAGUAAUAUUGCUCCUUAUAAAUAUGUAACAUUUUUAUCUUUAUACAAACUUACUUCGCUGUACUCGCUGUACCUGUUGUCGAUUGAUUCAAUGAUGCAAUUGAGUAGUGAUCUAAAGACUUCUGAGUUUGGAAUGGCUGAUCUCUUCUUCGUAUUCAGUUCACAUCAACAUUUGCGAAUCAGUUGUUUAGCUUUUUAUUCAACCGUACACAUUCCUUAAAGACAGCUCCAUUCUUAUCAUAAACAUUUCAGUGUAAACAACCUUGGAACAAGUUUGCCAUGUUCAAAAAAAAAAAAAAAAUUUAAAGACUUAUCUCUGAAAACAGUGUCCAGAAAUGCAGGUGUUCCCGGUAAUGAAGCUUCAAAAAUAAAGUGGUCUAUUUAUAUGACAUGAAAUCCAUAUCUUUUGGAAGGGUAUACUUAAUGACAGCACUCAAAUAUAUUCUGUGCUGCAAAGAAGAUCCAAAUGAAGCAUAUCGCACAGAAAACAAACACAAUUAUUAAAUCUACUUGUAUCAUGAACAUUUUCACAAAACAAAAUGCAUAUUGUAAUAUUAAGUACAUGACACUUGCAUGUUAAUAUGCCUAUAUACUGACAAAGUAUUCAAUGUGUACUGAGUGGCGCUUCAAAUAUGUCAUGUACAACACUUAGAAACAUGCCUACAAAGGUUCCCACUUGCAUUUCAUCCUUUCAGUAAAGUCUCCUCACACGUGCAAAAAAAUUGUUUGAUAAAUAUGAAAAAAAAUAAAAUUUGAAUUUUAGUUAUCUGUUGGACAUUACUGAACUUCUUCUUCAUUUAGUGUAUUUUAGGUUCUGAACACAGACAUUGAGAAUAAACGUUCUUUUCUCCAGUGAAAGAUUACAAACGAUGUGGUGGAGCAUGUUCUGUUAUGCCAAACGCAUUAUUUUGAAUACCUUUUUUCAAUUGCAUUUUAUAUCCAUCUAUUUUAGGUUUCCUCAAUGACAUACAAUUUUCUUGUAAAUUUCUAAAGGGAACUUAAAAAAAUGAGAGCUACUAAAUGUUAUCUUUCUGAUAAAACAUUUAAUCAUUACUCCUUGAAAUGUAUGAACCUUGUGAUAUGCUAAGGGUUAAAAAAUAAGUGUCGCUGACAUAAAGAAUUUUGCUUGAGAUUGCCAACAUUCAAAAUUCUGUAAAAGUACUUUUACAUCCACUUAUUUGUGUUUACUAAUGUUGACUAGGAACAGAAGC
rnacentral:lncRNA from 1 species